UACGUAGGGGCCGAGCGUUGUCCGGAGUUACUGGGCGUAAAGCGCGCGCAGGCGGCUCGCUUUGCCCGGCGUGAAAGCCCCCGGCUCAACCGGGGAGGGUCGUCGGGGACGGGCGAGCUUGAGGCCGGCAGGGGCAGGUGGAAUUCCCGGUGUAGUGGUGAAAUGCGUAGAGAUCGGGAGGAACACCCGUGGCGAAGGCGGCCUGCUGGGCCGGACCUGACGCUGAGGCGCGAAGGCGUGGGGAGCGAAUGGG
rnacentral:rRNA from 1 species